AAAACCAGUUUGACCAAACUGUAAAAGAAAACCAGGCUUUAAAGCAAGAACUAAUAAAGCAAAGCCAAAACACCAAGAAAUUAGAAGAGAACAUAAAAUAUCUCACCGACAAGGUGAUAGAUCUGGAAAACAGGGGGAGAAGAGAAAAUUUAAGAAUAAUUGGACUCCCAGAAAAGCCAGAAAUAAACACCAAACUGGACAUGGUGAUACAAGAUAUAAUCAAAGAAAAUUGCCCAGAGAUUCUAGAACAAGGGGGCAAUACAGCCACUGACAGAGCUCACAGAACACCUUCUACACUAAACCCCCAAAAGACAACUCCCAGGAAUGUAAUUGCCAAAUUCCAAAGCUAUCAAACAAAAGAAAAAAUCCUACAGGAAGCCAGAAAAAGACAAUUUAGAUAUAAAGGAAUGCCAAUCAGGAUCACACAAACCUUGCAAGUUCUACGCUGAAUGAUCGUAAGGCAUGGAACAUGAUCUUCAGAAAGGCAAGAGAGCUGGGUCUCCAACCAAGAAUCAGCUACCCAGCAAAACUGACUAUAUACUUCCAAGGGAAAGUAUGGGCAUUCAACAAAAUAGAAGACUUCCAACUUUUUGCAAAGAAAAGACCAGAGCUCUGUGGAAAGUUUGAUACCGAAAAUCAAAGAGCAAGGAAUACCUGAAAAGCUAAGCCUGGGAGGACAAAGAUUUGCUUUUGCUAUUCCUGCCUCUUAGAGCAGCCAAAGAUGAAAGAGAUAAGUGAGGACUCUACGUUGCCCCAGCUUCCUGCUUCUGCCAUGAAUCACAGCCUAAGCUAAAUAAGGAUGUGGAACUGGUCUUCAUCAUUCAUAUGUGGACCUUAAUCUUUGCACCUACAUUUCCCUCAAACAAACCCUGAAGCUUUCUUCAACAACAAAUAUUUGCCCUGUACCUAUUAAGAAAAAAAAAAUUCUUCUUGGCAUUGGAGAUUAAAAGAACAAAGCCUCACCUAGUCAUCAAACUCAAGGAACUAACUACUGGGGCAAAAGGAGGAAGAGAAAGAAGCCAAUACAAGGUAAGAUGCAAUGGGGCCGAAGUGACUUAGAAAUACAGUAUUUAAGGAUGGAGACACCAUUUUCAGCAGGGGUCUAAGGGAAAGGUUCAUGAAGGGGAUUGUCCAUGGCCUGAGCCUUAAAGGAGGGUUCUGAAAGGCACCGAGGAGAAAGGACUGCAUUCCAACCAUGAGGUCAUUCUACACAAAGGCAGGAUAUCUGGUAUGUUGAAUUCAGUUAGAAGUUCUAUUUGGCUGAAACAGAGAGCUUAUGAAGUGAAAUAACAUGAAACCAGACUGGAAGAAUAAUUAGAAAUUGGAUUGUAGGGAGAGUUUAAAUUGAAUUGUAAGGAACGUAUUAUAUUUUAUCCUAUAGACAGUGGGGAAAUGGUCAGAAGUCACUAAAAAUUUUUAAGAUAUGGACUCAGAUCUGUGCGUUGGGAAGAUUUUUUAAAAUUGUUUUCUUUAUUCAAAGACAUUUUAUUUUUCCAAUGAGAUGUAAUAACAAUUUUCAACAUGUUUUCUGAGAUAAUAAGAUCCAAAUUGUCUCUCUCCCUCCCCGCUCUUGGAGAUGGUAAUCAAUUUGAUCUAGGUUAAACAUGUUUUAUCAUGCAAAACAUACUUCUAUGUUGGUCAUUGUUGUAAGGAAAUGCUCCUAUAAAGCCAACCCCCCCCCCAAUAGAAACACAAAUAAACUAAAGUGAAAAAUAACAUGUUUUGCUCUCCAUGCCAGCUUCAACAGCUCUUUCUCUAGAGGUAGAUAGCAUUCUUUGUCAUAAGUGGGAAGAAUUUUUUUGGUAGCUGGAUGAAGGAUGGAUUAGAGAAAGGAACCUGGAGGUGGAGAAACCAGCUUUGACCAGUAUAGUAGUCCAGGUCAAAGGUAAGAAGGAUCGAAAUUAGUGUGGUCACAGUGUGAGUGGAAAGAAAAGACGAAAUUUUAGAGAAGUUGUAGAAGUAAAAAUCAACAGGAUUUAGAAAUUGGUUAGAUAUGGGAAUUGUUGAGGAGGGAAAGAUCAAAGAUAUUUUUAAGACUGAAAGGAUAUAAAGAGAUUGAGAAGUACGUUAGUAGAGAAGAGCACCAAGAAAGAGCAGUUCUAUUGAAGCCAAAGGAGGAGAGAGUAUAAAGGAGAAGGGAUAGCAUCGAACACUGCAGGAAAGGUGGAGAAUAAGAAAUGAGCAGGGGCCAUCUGUGACUUUGGAAAGGUCAGUUUCAAUUACUUUGGCAUCUGCAACCAAAUUUCAAGGAAUUGAGAAGUGAGAAGGUGGAAGCAGUGAGCCAAAUCUACCCUUUUUAGAAGUUCAGCAGUGAAAAGAAGGAAGUAGAGGGGAUGGCAAGAUGAAGGAAAAAUUUCUUUUAAAUUUUAUUGACAUAUUUUGACUUGACAAAAUAGACCCAUCACAAAAAAUGCACAAAUGCCACAAGGAAUAUUCCCUCAAAACUGUGAAGCAGAGGCAUCUAAAAAAAAGUGGUUGUAAAUAUUACAAUGAAGGUGGCUAAGUGGCACAAUGGAUAGAGUGCCAUCCCUGGAAUCAAGAGGACCAGAGUCUAAAUCUGUCUUCACUUAUUGUGUGACCCUGGGCAAGUCACAAACCUAUUUGCCUCAGUUCUUCAUCUAUAAAAUAAGCUGGAGAAGGAAAUGGCAAGAAAAUUGCCAAGAAAAUCCCAGAUGGGGUCAUGAAGAGACAGACAUGACUGAAAUGACUAACAACAAAUGAUACUACUUGUCACUUUCCUCUUUUCUAGUUUACUAAUUAAUAACAGUAAGAAAAAUAUGUGUUUUGACUUUAAUCAUUUGGUUCCAAUGUUGUCUAUUGAAUUUGACCUGACAUUGACCUGAUUUACAUUGUUGUAGUUAUUCAGUAAAAGUUCCGCUGUCUUCAUCCAGCACCAAAACAUACGAGGGUUUCCAUAUUUCCCUGAAUUCUUCAAAUUCAUCAUCCUUAGAAUACAAUAAAAUUGUGCUACAGUUAUUUAUAAUUUGUUUGGUCAUUACUAAUCAUAGAGUACACAAUUUAUUUCCAGAUUUUUGCUAUUACAAAUAAUAUCACCAAAUCCUUUUGAACAUAUGAGUCUUUUCUUGCCAUCCCUAGUUUCCUUAACAAAAUUAAUAGAUAGAUCUGUGGGUCAAAAGUGAUGAAAAAUUAGAAACCUUUUUUUGCCUAAUUUCUAAUUGUUUUCCAGAAUGGUUAGAAAGUCAAAAUGAUUUAUAAAGUUAGUGUGCUCAUAAUAAAAAGGUUGUUUCUUUCUUUCCUUAGCCUGAGCAUGUUUAUAGGUAAUAGGGAAGAAACUAAGUAGAAAGGAAGAGAUUGAAGAUGAGAGAGAGAGAGAGAGAGAGAGAGAGAGAGAGAGAGAGAGAGAGAGAGAGAGAGAGAGAGAGAGAGAGGUGAGAAAUUGAAGUAAACGCCUGAAGGUGGUGGAAAGGGUUAAGAUUAAAGUUACAGGUGGAGAGAUUAAUUUGGCAAGAUGAAGAAUCAUCUUAGCUUUUGAGAUUGAAGGAGAAGAUGCAGAGAAACCUUGACUGCCCCAAGAUCACACAGCCCACACAUGUGAGAGGCAGGAUUCAAAUCUAGGUUUUCCUGACUCCAAGACCAAUAUUGAAUCAACUCCAUCACAUUGCCUCUCAGAUGAGAUAUUCAAAUUCACUAAUUCAACAAUUCCUUACUAUAUGUCUUCAAUGGAGCAGGCAUUGUGCCCAGCAACCAGAAAUACAAAGAUUAAAACUAAAAAAUCCCUCCCCUGAAGGAAGGAUCCUCUUUGCAUCAACUGCUCUGUCUGAUUUCAUCUUCAUGGGACAAGAUGAUCCUCCCAGAAUAAAGUCAUCACUUCUAAUUUCAUCACCAUGCUGCUGAUUCAACCUUUGAUUGAUACUAUCUCUCUCAGCCUCCUCUGCCCUCUUUUUUAUUAAUUGAAAAAUAUUAUUUAAUUAAUUAAUUUAGAAUAUUUUCCAUGGCUACAUGAUUCAUGUUCUUUCUCUCCUCUUCUCUCACACCCCUCCCAUAUCUGAUGCACAAUUCCACUGGGUCUUACAUGUAUCAUUGAUCAAGACCUAUUUCCAUAUUAUUGAUUUUUGCACUAGGGUGAUCAUUUCGAGUCUACAUCCCCAGUCAUAUCUCCUCGACCCAUGUAAUCAAGCAGUUAUUUUUCUUCUGUGUUUCUAUUCCCACAGUUCUUCCUCUGGAUGUGGAUAGCAUUCCUUCUCAGAAUUGUCCUGAAUCACUACAUUGCCAUUAAUGGAGAAGUCCAUUACAAAUUCGAUUAUACCAUAGUGUAUCCAUCUCUGUGUACAAUGUUCUCCUGGUUCUGCUCCUCUCACUCUGCAUCAAUUCCUGGAGGUUGUUCCAAUUCACAUGGAAUUCCUCCAGUUUAUUAUUCCUUUGAGCACAAUAGUAGCCCAUUAACAACAGAUACCACAAUUUGUUCAGUCAUUCCCCAGUUGAAGGACAUCCCCUCAUUUUCCAAUUUUUUGCCACCACAAAAAGCUCAGCUAUAAAUAUUUUUGUACAAGUCCUUUUCCUUAUCUCUUUGGGGUAUAAACCCAGCAGUGAUAUAGCUGGAUAAAAAGGCAGACAGUCUCCCCUCUUUUUUGAAGGACUAGAGGGGUAUUGAACUCCUCCCAAUGCCUUUCCUUAUAGCAGGCAGAAAGUGAAAUGCAAGCACAUUCCACUUUGUAUCUGCUGUCCUUAUUGGUUUCAGCUCCACCAAACAAGUUGUCCCUACUCCAGGUAUCCCUUGGUGUCCACCCUACCCCUUCUCCUUCUUUUGUAUUGUUUUCCCCCAUUCGAUUGUAAGCUCCUUGAGAGCAGAGACUUAUAUUUUUCUUAAUUAUAUCUUCAGCAUAAUGUCUGGCAUGUAGUAGGAACAUGAAAAAUAUCUAUUGAAUUGAGUUUACAUUCUGUUGGGAAUGGGAAGGACACCAAGUACAGUGGUAAGUAAAUACAAAUGGUGAAGUGGAUCAUUCUGGAAGAGUUGAGAAUGGUGAGUAGGAAAGACCUCCUGUAGGAAGUGACCCUUGAGCUAAUACUUGGAUGGAACUUGGGGGGGGAAGGAGGAAAGGUGAUAAGGGGAAAUAUUUCAGGAAUAGCGACAACACUUCGGAGGUGACGGAUAAUGAAUGUCCUUUACAGUGGAGAGAGUAGAAGCCACUGACAUCGUAGGUUAAAAUACCAGUUGAAAAGAAAAAAAGGUUUUAGCCAGAUCUCCCAAAAGGCUCCAUCUCAUGCUUCCUAAACAGCUGUCAUACUCUCAGCAGCCUUGAAUUAUUUUUUGUCUUAUAGUAAAUUUAAGAAACAUGAACAUUUCAGAAUGCAAAAAAAGAAAAGAGAAUUGUACAAGAAACUGUAAAGUUCUUAUAUACAGUUUUGUGGUUCUUUUAAACUUGUAUGUUAAAUUUAACAUAUAAUGCCAACAGUAUAGGGGCAGCAAGGUGGCAUAGGAGUUAGAGUGCUAAGCUUGGAGUCAGGAAAUUUUUAGUUUAAAUUCAACCUGGAAUAUAUAUUAGCUAUGAUACCCUAGGCAAGUCACUUUACCUUGUUUGCUUUAGUUUCCUCAUCUGUAAAAUGAACUGGAUAAGGAAAUAGCAAACUACUUCAAUAUCUUUGCCAAGAAAGUCCCAAAAGAGGUCAUGAAGAGUCCAAAAUGACCAGAACUGAACAAUAAAAACCAAAAAUGCCCUGCCCCUGCCCCUUUCUUUGCCAAUAACUUUCAAACGCAUUCCCAGCCAUGAUACAAGGGAACUGACUUAGAUCAUCUCUUUUAAAGUCACUUUCAGCUCAAAUAUUAUAUAAUUCCUUGAAUAUUCAGACUGAAUUUGUGACUAUAUAUAAAAAACUUAAACACUUACCUUCCAUCUUAGCAUUAAUACUGUGUUUUGGUUCCAAGGCAGAAGAGUGGUAAAGGCUAGGCAAUGGGCAUUAAGUGACUUGUCCAGGGUCACACAGCUAAGUAUGUGAGGUCAAAUUUGAACCCAGGACCUCCUGUCUCUAAUCCUGGAUCUUAAUCCAUUGAGUCACCUAGCUGCCCUUUUUUAUAAUAACUUUUAAAGCUGUUUAGCAAUGCUCCAAUUUCAACAUAAAAUGACUUUUUGUGUGUGUUUUAGGUUGGGCUGUUCAACAAGAAAAAGCACCACAAGACCAGUAUGAACAGAUUCUUCCCCCACCCGAAGUUUUUAGGUGCUCAAUUUCUCUUUUAACUUUCUAAAUCAUCCAUGGGUUAGGACUCCUCUUGAACCAUGAUGCUUGUAAAUCAUCAAGUGUACUCUGAAUGUGCUUAUCUCAGAACAAAAUCGCAGCCCUCUUUUUUCACCUACAGCAAGUACAUUGUAGUGACAAGUGUAAAAUUCCAUCAACAGAGCAGUAAUUCAGGCCCAUUUUUUCUGCCAAUUCGAUGUCAUUUUAAAACAUCAGGGCUUUGCCUGAACACAUUGUUUUUAGGGGAAAGUAUGUUGCCAAAGCCCACCUGUAGAAAUUCCCAUAGAGUUCAUAGCCUCUCUCUGUCAGCCUGGUAGAUGGGUGAUUUUCCCUCCCACCCACCCCCAAACCACGGGGUGUUUUUUUUCUAGAAUACCAGAGCCCUAGGUUUACACUGGGUUGCAUGUGAAGUCCUGCAGGACCCAACUAACUGAACCUUGAAAAUAAAUAGACAUAAACCCUAACCAUGUAUGGUCUGAAACAAGGAAAAUGACUUGCAAAACACUGAGCGAUGACUGCCCAUAUAAAAAUUCAGAACAUCGUCGUUCAGAUGGCAAGGGCUCAAAGAACAACCCAGUGGUACCACAAGCUUUACAGAAGGCAAAGCUGCUGCUCACUGAGCCCACUGCUGGUCCCACUGAAGAGGCAAAGCUGCAGCCCACUGCCACACAUGCUCGCCUCUGAUCACCCCACUCCCAGCAGACUCUGGUUCCAUGCUUCUCCUCACUCUAAAGGAAUCAUGCGGAAAAUAAAAUAGGCAUCUGGAUUGCAUUCCUUGGAAAGUUUCACUGCUCUGUUGAUUUAUUUUCCUACGAGUCGAUUUAUAUAUUUGUCUUCCCCUGGCAUGUCCAGAAA